rnacentral:piRNA from 1 species
UGAGGACCAUGGGUGAUUUUGUGUAC